rnacentral:rRNA from 1 species
UGUUAAUUGGGGUGCGGAGCUAUAAUAGGGGUAUAGGGGGAAAACCGUCGGAACGUGCCCAACGUGGGGGAUAACUACUCAAAAGAUGGGUGAUCCCGUAUACGAUCUGAGGAUGAAAGCGGGGGACCUUCGGGUCUCGGGCGCUUGGAGCGGCCGAUGGCAGAUUAGGUAGUUGGCGGGAUAAAAGCUUACCAAGCCGACGAUCUGUCAAUGGUCUGAGAGGACGACCGGCCACACUGGGACUGAGACACGGGGAAACUCCUACGGGAGGCAACAUGGGGGAAUGUUGGACAAUGGGAGAAAGCCUGAUCCAGCAAUGCCCCGUGCCGGAUGAAGGCCUUCGGGUUGUAAACUGCUUUUGUACUGAACGAAAAAGCUUCUCCUAAUACGAGAGGCCCAUGACAGUACCGUAAGAAUCUGACCCGGCGAACUACGUGCCUGCAGCCCCGGUGAUACGUAGGGUGCGAGCGUUAAUCGGAAUUACUGGGCGUCUAGCGUGAGCAGGCGGUUAUGUAAGACAUAUGUGAAAUCCCCGGGGUCAACCUGGUAACUGCUUUUGUGACUGCAUGUCUAGAAUACGGAAGAGAGGGAUAGAAUUCCGCGUGUACCAGUGAAAUGCGUAAAUAUGUGGAGGAACACCGAUGGCGCAGGCGAUCCCCUGGACCUGUGCUGACGCUCAUGCACUAAAGCGUGGGGAGCAAACAGGAUUAGAUACCCUGGUAGUCCACGCCCUAAACGAUGUCAACUGGUUGUUGGGAUUAGUUUCUCAGUAACGAGCUAACGCGUGAAGUUGACCGCCUGGGAGCACGGCGCAAGGUUGAAACUCAAGGAAUUUGACGGACCCGCACAAGCCGUGAUGAUGUGGUUUAUUUCGAUGCAACGCGAAAAACCUUACCACACCUUUGACAUUGGACAGGAGUUUCCAGAAGAUGGAAUCGUGCUCGCAAGGAGAACCUGCACACAGGGCUGCA